AUCUGACACAUCGAAUGUGUACACCGCGUUGUUCUGAAAUCGAUGUGCCGAUUCUACACAUUGAGCUGGUUUUUGCUCAAAAAGCCAUCCAAUGUGUAAAUUUUUAUUUUGCCAGCUUCACUGAAGUUGCCGUUGGGUGUCGCCACUUGUCUGGGACUUAGACGUCAGAUCUAAAAAAAAACACGUGUCAUCAUAAAGCAGCAAAUUCCCCAGUUAUUUCUUUGUUAUGUGAGUAUUUUGCAUGUUUGGCAUUUAAUUUGACUGAAAAGUCAUUUUGUUAACGGCCCAGUUAAUUCUUUAAAACUUUGCUGCUAUUUUUUUCUCCAGAACCCGUCAACCAACAAAGUGUUCCCGCCGGGGCCGGUCCCUGUGCAGCUCGCGCUCAUUUCUCGUCCCGAGUCCUACCAGCCGGCUAUCUCAAACAGGGUCGCCCUGGGACGGGUCGGGACACAACAAAAAGAGCUAUUUCCAGGGCUAACUGCACAAUUCCAACGACACUCGGACCGUCCGCUGUCCCAGUCCCAAUUUCUUGGUCGCGAUCUAACUAUGACUCAACCCUCCGAGGAGGAGAACUUCUCUGCGGCACACCAGGACUGCUCCGGUUCCCGAAUCUCGCAGGUCAACCGCACAUAUGAAAGAUACGGUGAAGGAAUGCGAGAGAGGCCGUCGAAGCUGACGUCAGGUUCCAGCACAAUCUGCCCGGACUUCCGAAUGAGAAUCCGCCCAUUACGCAGGACUUUCUGUGAAGAUCGUCGAUCUGAGGCAGUUUUGGACACAUUACGUGUAACCGGAUGGGAUGGAAUCAUUAAACUAAAUGAAGCGGAACUCGAUAAAUACUAUACAAGUGUCGUGACAUCUGGCGCACGGCCGUCCAGCACGGCAACAUCUGUUGGAGAAACGGCCUACAACACAAGCAUGGCCACGAUGACGGACGAGGCUGAAUCAUGAUCCGGGCUGAGUUGCAAUGUUAUGCCGAACGGAAUAACCAGGACCAUGAUCUCUGAAACGCACCAAAGUUUGUUAUGAAAGGAAAACCGCACUCGACGACGACGACGACUUGGCCAGGAAGAGCGACGACGUUGACGAGGAAGAGCUGCAGAGCGGUGCUCGCAAAACAUGCACCAAGUAAACACGGAAUAGUUCAGCCGAGGACGGCGAACCGGCGAGAACGAUCGCUUUGGUGGCCACUACGUCGAAAGCUGACAACAAACAGAUCCCAUUACAACGGUGACCACGGAUUGUUGGCGAACUAAUCGCUUGCAGCUCAAUCUACGAUAAGAAAUUUUUCGAUGCCGCCAGUUGGUGCUCAACUCAGUUUGUACACCACCGUCGAGGAAGAAAACGUCACAAUCGGAUAAGAAGGAAUUUCACUGAAGAUGGACCAGCGCAAAUCUGGCAGUCUCGGAGGUCGCACGAUCUUCUAGACGCUGAACAACUCAUCGUAAUUGGCCGCGAGCAACAACAAGAUCGAGGACGUGCUUCUGUUUGGUCGUGACGUGGUCCUGCCAUCGCCACCGGAACGAUCGCCCAGAGACCUGUUGGAGCUGGGAAGGCCGUGCGCGGUUCGCCAUCAAACAGCUAUUCUAGUGGGCGGACGAAAUCGAGUUCGAGUUGAUUGUGCGGGUUGAUCCGGCCGCCCGCGAGAAAAUGGAACGAAGCGUCCGCUCCAGCUUCCACAUUCUGAAGACCGCAAAGCAACCGUCCCGGUCGCUGCAGCACAACAACGAGCAGCCAAGAGAGUACCAAGAGAAUAAGACCCGCCGGACAUAUAGUUGUGGUUCCAGCGCCGGCCAGCGGCGCCACAUCACCGUCGGAAGCCCGUUGCGACUUGAGAACGCACACAGCCCGAACCGACCGGAAAUUGCAGCUCCAGCCAACGACCCCCAACCUGUUGCUCGUCCUUUACCGAUCAUGCAACGCACCAUUCGUAAUGACAAAGUUAAACCUCCGCCGCCGUCGUAGCAAACAGACGCGCAACUCACUUCUGCGCAGCCGCAGCCCGUCUAGAACGGAUGUCCGACGUACGGACCGCCCGAAUAAGUACCACCUCCGCAGCAACAAUAUCGAGCCUGUGCCGGCAUCAUGAUCAGACCACCACAGCAGCAGCAGCUCGAGCGGUGGGAAAGUGCCGUUCCCUGGCCCGUAGGUGGCACCUUCCGCCGUCCUCGAGUGCGGAAUCGCGAUUCGUGGGAGCACCGGGCCACCCCGUCCAGUCGAAUGAAGUGUCUGAUCCGAUCUGCGAUGACGAGUAGACCGACGCGAUCAAAAGGACAGACGACGCCAACGACAAGGAAGAACCGGAAGCUUCGGAGAACUAAUCCGAGGCGGGACAAUUCGGGAGCGAGAUCCGAGGUUGCCUGCUAGUGCUCGCGUACGGAUCGCCUCAGGGUACCUGCUCGUGGCGCUCUCAACGCUGAGCACAACAAGCAGUCGCUGUUGGCGUUCUGGUACCUGGCCAUGAUCCUAAUCCUGGCCAACGUGGCCCUGGUGGCCAGCUGUAUGGACAUUAAUUACUUGAUUGUCCGGUACCAAACCAGGUGUUUGACUUUCUCGAUACAACAAUGCCGACCACGACAACCGGAGCCAUGUUGCUGAAUGCUGCGGAUGUGCUGCCAGCACAGUAGAUUCCUUCCGCGUCAAAUGGCCGUACCCUCCAGAAUCUGCACUGUGCCUUCAUCAAAUCAUACGACGACGAACCAGCUGGCCGUGUUAUAGGGUUGGCUACGUGCGUCUCGCUUCGGAUACUGAUAGCGUCCGAAGUGUUCACAAGUGUGUUAUAAUUUGUAAUAAUUCAGCACCAAUAUUUUGUUUAAAUAAAUGUUUUGAAAUUUAAUCUUUUUUUGAUGAAAACAUAAAGAAAACAAGUUAUAUCUAUUCAACAACAGGUGGCAGCACAAUAUUCCCGCUAUCCAAAAGGUUUCAAUUUUUGCCACCAGGCGGCUACCGCCAAAUCAAAAGUUACACAUUGGAUGCGUUUUUGGCCAGAAUCCAGCCAAUGUGUUCCGGGCUGUUUACACGGCGCGAUGGUUGAAGCGUGGUCUUGUGCGAAAAUGGUUGGA